CAUGCCUUCCUCCAGCCCUGCAUCAGCCGAUCGUGCUCCCCAGCGACAGCUCGCCAUGCAGCAAGCUCCUGGCUCCACUUUUCUUGCUGGAAUGCCUCUGCAAGACAAGCAGAGUCAAGGUCACAGCUUUGGAGACCUCUGGAGUGCUAUAGAUGUGUACUGUCCGACAGGACCACACCCUAGGCUGAAGUUCUGAUCUGUUCUAGUGAUCUGUCCCAAUGGAGAAUCCCCUCACUGGCCUGAGGGGGUCACAGUAGAGAUCUGGGGAGCCAGUGGGUUUUGCAUUUCAUUACUGGUUGCUUGGUUUUUCAGACAGCUUUGCUUUUUUGACCUAGUUGCCUUGAAUUCACCCGGUAUCCCAGGCUGGAUCUAAACUUGAAAUCCUCCUGCUUCGGCCUUUCUAGUUCUGCGAUUCCAAGUGUGUCCACCUCACAGUCGGUGUCUCCACUUACCCCCUCUUCCCAGCCACAGGUGCUCUCCAAGGCUCCAGUGGACCUGGCCUCUACAUCCCAUUGUCAUUUCCUGGGUGCCAGAGGCCCCACAUUGCAGAAGCUGCAGGAGACCCGGAAAGUGGGCAGUUGCGAGACAGCUGCUGUCCCAGGACAGCUUCACAGCAGAGCCAGGGGGCAAUCAGUGCUGCAUCGUCGGGAUAAGGGAGAGGUAGCAUGCUAUGGCUUAAAAGACUGCCCAAUCAGGGGCCACCCUCCCUCUGCCCUAGCACAUAAAAGGUCUCUGGGUUGGGUACAUAACAAGCAGAUUGAGGGGACAUUCAACACUGAAGGAGGAAGCCCUGCCCUUUCCCCGAUUAAGUCUCUAGAUCUCCAACCCAGCUAAGCCUUGCUGUGCCUGAUAUUUGUUCUAGGUCUGGGCUGCUGCUGGGUUUUAAUGCUGAGCCCCACUUCGGCUGAAACAGAAGACUCAUUCUGUAAGAGCGGAGAGGAGGAGAUUGUAUUGUGCUCAGUGGGAGGAGAGCCUGUUCCUCAGCCCCGUGCUCAGCAUCACCUGCAGGGGGCUUUUGAACUCCUCACCCUGCAGUUCUGACCCUGGCUUCCUAGUGAGCCCCAGGCCAUGCAGAUGCUACUUGGUCCACACACAUGCUUUGAAAAAGACAACAUGGAGAGAAGAAAGCCGGGGAGAAUGAAGUCUGUCCACAUUGUGGAAGGCAGAAGAUGGCCAGCUGUGAACCAGCAGAAUGCAACAAAGCCAAAGCCUUCAUUUCUAAAAGGCCCCUUGGGCUUUAGAAGGUGAAGCCGAGACAGCGUAUGAGGAAGUAGAAAGUCAAAAGAUGACAGGAAAGAACAAGGUAGCUCCCUAGAGGAGAGGUCCAGUUCUCACAUCUUGGAAAAAUUCUGAACAGUAGAUGGAAAAUAGUAAACAUGGUCAAGAAAAUGCCCCAGAACUGGGGGGCAAGGGCUCCCUAACUAAUGGGCCCUAGAAAAGUGUGAAAAGGUCAAGCCAUUUUAAAUUGUAACUGUUUGAGAAAACAAGCUUCCAGAGAUUAAAGAGGUCUCCGUUGACAGAUA